CUUACUGCCUGCUCUCCUCUCCCCUGUAGCCGGUUCUCCACGUGGCCAUCAGAGGAUGCUUCUGGAAGGCACCAGGCAUUCAGGUGUGAACAAAGCUAUCCAUGCAGUCCGGGAGGGGAGCCAGACAGAAGCAAGCAUGUGCGACCAGCAUUAAAGGGGCAGCUGCAGUCUGUCCCCUCUGGAGCCCUGUCCUUGUUCUUCCCAACACAGCCUUGUGCGUGUGCUGAUGCUGUAUGAAAUCCCUGCUUCUUCAUCGUUCAUCACAAGAGCAAGGAACACCUGCUGAAAGGUGAAGAGGACAGAGCCUUGGCAGAGAUUAAUGCCUUCCUGAUGCCAGGCGGCCAUGAGAACUGAGAUUGGCAGUGUGAAGGUCCACCUUCUCUGCAACCAAAUCAUAAGUGUCCCAUAGACAAAGGCUUUGUGUUUAUCUGCCUUCAGACUGGUCAGUGAUCACGGAAGCUUAGCAACUUGGGGCAAAACUGGCUCAGGGCCGGGCAUGGUGGCUCAUGCCUGUAAUCCUAGCACUUCGGAGGCAGGCGGAUCACUUGAGACCAGGAGUGCGAGACCAUCCUGGCCAAUAUGGUGAAACCCUAUCUCUAUUAAAAAUCCAAAAAAUUAGC